CCUACGGGAGGCAGCAGUGAGGAAUAUUGGUCAAUGGACGAGAGUCUGAACCAGCCAAGUAGCGUGAAGGAUGACUGCCCUAUGGGUUGUAAACUUCUUUUAUAAAGGAAUAAAACGAGGCACGUGUGCCUUUUUGCAUGUACUUUAUGAAUAAGGAUCGGCUAACUCCGUGCCAGCAGCCGCGGUAAUACGGAGGAUCCGAGCGUUAUCCGGAUUUAUUGGGUUUAAAGGGAGCGUAGAUGGGUUGUUAAGUCAGUUGUGAAAGUUUGCGGGUCAACCGUAAAAUUGCAAUUGAUACUGGCAGUCUUGAGUACAGUUGAGGUAGGCGGAAUUCGUGGUGUAGCGGUGAAAUGCUUAGAUAUCACGAAGAACCCCGAUUGCGAAGGCAGCUUACUAAACUGUGACUGACAUUGAUGCUCGAAAGUGUGGGUAUCGAACAGGAUUAGAUACCCGGGUAGUC
rnacentral:rRNA from 1 species